rnacentral:siRNA from 1 species
ACAGCCAUAAUGGAGAAGAUCCUC